CCUACGGGAGGCAGCAGUGAGGAAUAUUGGUCAAUGGACGAGAGUCUGAACCAGCCAAGUAGCGUGAAGGAUGACUGCCCUAUGGGUUGUAAACUUCUUUUAUAUGGGAAUAAAACGUUCCACGUGUGGGAUUUUGUAUGUACCAUAUGAAUAAGGAUCGGCUAACUCCGUGCCAGCAGCCGCGGUAAUACGGAGGAUCCGAGCGUUAUCCGGAUUUAUUGGGUUUAAAGGGAGCGUAGGUGGAUUUUUAAGUCAGUUGUGAAAGUUUGCGGCUCAACCGUAAAAUUGCAGUUGAAACUGGCAGUCUUGAGUACAGUAGAGGUAGGCGGAAUUCGUGGUGUAGCGGUGAAAUGCUUAGAUAUCACGAAGAACUCCGAUUGCGAAGGCAGUUCACUGGACUGCAACUGACACUGAGGCUCGAAAGUGUGGGUAUCAAACAGGAUUAGAUACCCUUGUAGUC
rnacentral:rRNA from 1 species